CAGGCCUAACACAUGCAAGUCGAGGGGCAUCAUUUCGAAAGCUUGCUUUUGAAGAUGGCGACCGGCGCACGGGUGAGUAACGCGUAUCCAACCUUCCCCUUAGUAGGGCAUAGCCCGGCGAAAGUCGGAUUAAUACCCUAUGUUCUUUACGGAUGGCAUCUGAAGUAAAGCAAAGAUUUAUCGCUAAGGGAUGGGGAUGCGUCUGAUUAGGUUGUUGGCGGGGUAACGGCCCACCAAGCCUACGAUCAGUAGGGGUUCUGAGAGGAAGGUCCCCCACAUUGGUACUGAGACACGGACCAAACUCCUACGGGAGGCAGCAGUGAGGAAUAUUGGUCAAUGGGCGAGAGCCUGAACCAGUCAAGUAGCGUGCAGGAUGACGGCCCUAUGGGUUGUAAACUGCUUUUGUCAGGGGAUAAAAAAGAGAACGUGUUCUCUAUUGCAUGUACCUGAAGAAUAAGGACCGGCUAAUUCCGUGCCAGCAGCCGCGGUAAUACGGAAGGUCCAGGCGUUAUCCGGAUUUAUUGGGUUUAAAGGGAGCGCAGGCUGGAGAUUAAGCGUGACGUGAAAUGCCGCGGCUCAACCGUGGAAGUGCGUCGCGAACUGGUUUCCUUGAGUGUAUUAGACGUCAGCGGAAUUCGUGGUGUAGCGGUGAAAUGCUUAGAUAUCACGAAGAACUCCGAUUGCGAAGGCAGCUGGCGAGGCUAUAACUGACGCUAAAGCUCGAAGGUGCGGGUAUCGAACAGGAUUAGAUACCCUGGUAGUCCGCACGGUAAACGAUGGAUGCCCGCUGUUGGCGAUAUACGGUCAGCGGCCAAGCGAAAGCGUUAAGCAUCCCACCUGGGGAGUACGCCGGCAACGGUGAAACUCAAAGGAAUUGACGGGGGCCCGCACAAGCGGAGGAACAUGUGGUUUAAUUCGAUGAUACGCGAGGAACCUUACCCGGGCUUGAACUGCAGGCGAACGAUUCAGAGAUGAUGAGGCCCUUCGGGGCGCCUGUGGAGGUGCUGCAUGGUUGUCGUCAGCUCGUGCCGUGAGGUGUCGGCUUAAGUGCCAUAACGAGCGCAACCCCUCUCUUCAGUUGCCAUCAGGUAGAGCUGGGCACUCUGGAGACACUGCCACCGUAAGGUGUGAGGAAGGUGGGGAUGACGUCAAAUCAGCACGGCCCUUACGUCCGGGGCUACACACGUGUUACAAUGGGAGGUACAGAGAGAUGGUGUCCUGCAAAGUGCAUCAAAUCCUUAAAGCCUUCCUCAGUUCGGAUUGGGGUCUGCAACCCGACCCCAUGAAGCUGGAUUCGCUAGUAAUCGCGCAUCAGCCAUGGCGCGGUGAAUACGUUCCCGG
rnacentral:rRNA from 1 species